rnacentral:lncRNA from 1 species
CUGAAAUAUUUGGUGCAAGGGCUCUGCCCCGGCUCCUAGCCAGAAUCGAGAGCAGACUCCUUCUAAGACACAUACGCCUUAUUGGCAUGAGGCCACCUUUGCCUAACAUGCUAUAUAAGCUAACAGAGAAAAAGCGGACAUUGGGAGACUCAGGACUACACGCAGGGAUUCUGCCCAACGGGACCCCGACCAGCCCCUGUCUUGGGAUUUCCCCAGUUGUCCUACGAUGUUGAGCCAAGGUGUAAAACAUGGUAUUUUGACAUGUGUAAAUGAAUACUACAAUGAAGAAAAGCUGCCUAUCCUUCUAACAGGAGUUGAUUUUCAUCCUUCAGCCUGUCUCACAGAGUAAGAAGUUUACAGGAGCUCCAACCUGACCAACUGCCAUGUCCAUUUCAAAGACAAGAGUAAGGAAAGAAGCCAAGGCAAAUGAGCUUACACAGCCAUUGUAGCUUCAUCUAAGCUGUCUUCCCAAAGUCAAGACAAUAUCUCUUAUUCCUAAUUGGCCUGAAUUUCUCUAGUCAUAUUUUGCUAAGAGACAGAUCAGAAAUGACAACCAUUUGUUGUGGUAUUGCUAACCUGAAUAAAACUUAGUCUUUGUGCUUAACUGCAAGGGAAGAAAGAAAAUUGAGAGGGACAGCCAUUAUUUUUUCUCUAUUCUAAAUUCAAAGUCAAAAAGAAAAAUUAUGAGCUAUUAUCAGGUGUAUUUUUUUACUUCAUAAAUCAUCACUUUUCUCUAGGUGUUUGUUCAUUCCUAGGUGGAAAAAAGAAGUAUUGGUUGAUUGGACAAAGACUUCUCUCUUGAUUAAAUGAAGGUGUGUAAAGGAGAGGGAGAAAAAUUUCUGGUUAAGGAGAAAUGUGUUUCAAAGAAAAGAAAAGGAUGAGAUCCCAGCUGUUGACUCUGUGUUAGUUCACGUGCCACUGAAGUUUUGUUCAUAAAGUCUUUUCCUACACCAAUACCACAGCGAUAUAUGCACAUCCAUGUUUAUAGUGGCACAGUUUGUAAUAGCUAAAUCUUGUAAACAGCCCAAAUGCCCAUCACCUGGUGAGUGGAUAAAGAUGUGGGGGGGGGUAUAAAAUGGAGUAUUACUCAGCCAUAAAGAAUGAGAAACUAGAGACAUUUAUAGCUAAAUGGAUGCAUAUUGAUGCCAUAGUCUUAAGUGAAUAAAUAGGACACAUGUGUAAAUACUGAAUAGUGUCUAUGGUGUGAGAAACUAAAAGUGUAAAUAAGUACCAAAAUGUAUAAUAGAUAAUCUGAAAUAGGAAGAAAAGAUCCAAAGGGGAAGGGGAAGUGGGAGGGCAAGGGUAAAGAAAGAAGGGGAAAAAUGUGAGAAAAGAAGAAAGAAAUGGAAACAAAGUUUUUUGUAAAUAGG